GCAGAUGUGGCACUUUGAAUGCACCAGUUCUCCAAGGAUCACUGAAGUUAACACAAGGUUGUGCAUGGUUACUAUCUGGAUAGGUGCCCAAUUGGGAAAACGCGGUAUGAUAGCU
rnacentral:rRNA from 1 species